CAAAAAAGCACUGAUUACCUGUAUAUUCUUUAACAAUAACGGUUUACUAUUCUCAGGAAUUAGUCAUUCAAAAGACGGUGAGGAAAAGAAUGGUCGACAAACCUUGUGUGGUGCCUUAACAGUCCAUCAGACUAAGGGAUAGAUAAAGGUAGAUCUUGAUUACACUGCCUGGUUUUGUGGUUUGCACGAGACGGUUGACACAAUGAUCUGAAGUUCAAACUGCCAUUUUCUACUGUCCGCUGCAAGAUCUUGGCUGGAAUGUAAAAGGAAUGUCCAAAAUAUUUAAAUGACAAACAGGAUGGGAACUGAUAAUGAGGAAUAUGCUGAAACAGACAUCUGGCAUAUUCCUAUAAUCAGUAUCAUGGCCUUUGUAUACAACAAAAUUGAUUGGAACUCCUAGACUAGAAAUAUAAUUCAAGAUUUAAAUAAGGCACUGGUCAUAGUUUUAGAAAGUGUGGCUAGCAUUCUGAAGGAAGACAGAGAGAUGGAAAGACAUCAAAGAAUGGGCAGGUCUGCCAAGAAAUGGUUUAUCCAGGGCUAAGUACAGAGAGGAAUAUAGAAGGGCUGUUGACAGAUCUUGUGUGGUGCCCCCAUGGUUCAACAGACUAAUUGAUUGAAAAUAAUACCAGGGUUAUGCUCCUUUGACCAUUGAGUUCCAGGAUGAAGAAUGAAAGACAGAGAGCAAUGUGAAGACAUGAAAGAAUGGGCAGGUCUGCCAUGAAAUGGUUUAUCCAGGGCUAAGUACAGAGAGGAAUAUAGAAGGGCUGUUGACAGAUCUUGUGUGGUGCCCCCAUGGUUCAACAGACUGAUUGAUAGGU